UAGGGAAUCUUCGGCAAUGGACGAAAGUCUGACCGAGCAACGCCGCGUGAGUGAAGAAGGUUUUCGGAUCGUAAAACUCUGUUGUUAGAGAAGAACAAGGACGUUAGUAACUGAACGUCCCCUGACGGUAUCUAACCAGAAAGCCACGGCUAACUACGUGCCAGCAGCCGCGGUAAUACGUAGGUGGCAAGCGUUGUCCGGAUGUAUUGGGCGUAAAGCGAGCGCAGGCGGUUUCUUAAGUCUGAUGUGAAAGCCCCCGGCUCAACCGGGGAGGGUCAUUGGAAACUGGGGGACUUGAGUGCAGAAGAGGAGAGUGGAAUUCCAUGUGUAGCGGUGAAAUGCGUAGAUAUAUGGAGGAACACCAGUGGCGAAGGCGGCUCUCUGGUCUGUAACUGACGCUGAGGCUCGAAAGCGUGGGGAGCAAACAGG
rnacentral:rRNA from 1 species